CGCCUCUUGAAUCCUAUAAGAGGUCCAGCCUGCCCAGUGACAAACUUAAACGGCCGCGGUACCCUAACCGUGCAAAGGUAGCGCAAUCACUUGUUCUUUAAAUGAGGACUAGUAUGAACGGCACCACGAGGGUUAUGCUGUCUCCCUACUCUAAUCAGUGAAACUGAUCUCCCCGUGAAGAAGCGGGGAUAUAAAUAUAAGACGAGAAGACCCCAUGGAGCUUUAAACUCAGUAUCAACUGCUACACCCAAUAACUUUAUAUUUUGCAACUCCUGAUUACUGGUUUUCGGUUGGGGUGACCACGGAGUAAAAACUAACCUCCACGAUGAAAGGUAAUAAAAGCCUAAACCACGAGCUACAGCUCUAAGCAUCAAUAAAUUGACCACUUGAUCCAAUUUCUUGAUCAACGAACCAAGUUACCCUGGGGAUAACAGCGCAAUCCAUUUCAAGAGCUCAUAUCGACAAAUGGGUUUACGACCUCGAUGUUGGAUCAGGGUAUCCCAGUGGCGCAGCCGCUACUAACGGUUCGUUUGUUCAACGAUUAAACCCU
rnacentral:rRNA from 1 species